CACGUAGGCACCAAGCGUUAUCCGGAUUUAUUGGGCGUAAAGAGCUCGUAGGCGGUUCGGCAAGUCGGAUGUGAAAUCUCCACGCUUAACGUGGAGGGGCCAUUCGAAACUGCCGUGCUUGAGGACUGGAGAGGAGACUGGAAUUUACGGUGUAGCGGUGAAAUGCGUAGAUAUCGUAAGGAAGACCAGGUGGCGAAGGCGGGUCUCUGGACAGUUCCGUGACGCUGAGGCACGAAGGUCAGGGGAGCAAACGGG
rnacentral:rRNA from 1 species